AAUAUUGCAGAUAAAAGCAACAGCCGUUUGGAAACACAGUAUAUUAAAGUGGCGGCAUCAAGAGGCUGUGGCCUGAAAUAAAUCCAAGCAAAGCCACAAGCGAUUCGUUUAGCUCACAUGUUUUAACAUCUAUGCUCUCAGUCUAAAAACUAGAGCUAAGCCCUGGAUUUCUUGAGAGGCUAGUGAUCGCCUUGUAGUGACGUAUAUUUCUUUUGGAAAACAGGUUGCCCAGAAGCCCUGAACAAAAAGGUAUACACUCAUUUUUAUUAGUGUCGGAGAACAUAUUCAGAAUUUGCAAAUUAUGAUCUGUUAAUAUUAUUGACUAUUUUUGUUUGCCGUGUCGCUUGAGUCAUCAGAAUCGUCCUCCGCUGGCUCUUAUUUCCUGUCAUGUGUUAGCAGGUCUGAUUGCACAGCCAGGAUGCUGCGUGUAGCUUUCACGUCCCUAAUGCGAUUUCCAUGAAGCACAUCCGGCAACCGAAAAAAAAUGACGCAAUAACGGUGGCUGGGGAAUAGAGAGAGCUAACCUGAUUUAGUCCCAAGUAGAUCCUUCAAGGCGAUAUGUAAAUGAUAUUUCUACAAACAAUUAAAACAUCUGGAAAUAACACUUUAUCAUAUGCAGAUGGUAAAUGAGAAGAAGGUGCAGAGCAUCACUUGAUGCUGGGCACCGCAUAACCUUUUCCUCCAAGUGAUUAUCUUGUGGAAAAUUCAUCAAGAUGAAUCAUUUCGACACCCUCCCACGGAUCUAAAGGUCAACCGUGAGAUUUCCCUCAGAAGUUGUCGGAAUGGACAAGCAAUUGAAGGCGACCAUUCAACUCUGUGACCUUGUCCUCUGUCGGCUAGCUGGGACAUGGGUUCGUCUCUGCGGCAAUAACAGCUGCUGGGGGGCUAUUCGGGACAUGGGUGAAGUUCCUCGACGUGUAGAGAUCAAGACCGCGAAGAAUGACAGAGACGAGCCCAGAACCCACAUCUGGGUGCAUCUCCUGCAGGAUUCUUCAUCUUGAUAUCAUCUUGACAUUAUCACCUCCAGUAUCUGCAGAAGAUGGGGCGGAAAUAAAGGUCCUCUGUAACAGUAC